rnacentral:rRNA from 1 species
GACGAACGCUGGCGGCGUGCCUAAUACAUGCAAGUCGAACGCAGUGGGGACGGGUGCGUAACACGUGGGUAACCUCCCAUCAGAGGGGAUAACACUUGGCAACAGGUGCUUAACCGAUACUGAUGGAUGGACCAGCGGUGCAUUAGCUAGUUGGUGAGGUAACGGCUAACCAAGGCCACGAUGCAUAGCCGACCUGAUAUGGGGAUCGGCGACAAUGGGACUGAGACACGGCCCAGACUCCGACGGGAGGCAGCAGUGGGGAAUCGUCGGCAAUGGACGAAAGCCUGACCGAGCAACGCCGCGUGAGUGAAGAAGGUUUUCGGAUCGUAAAACUCUGUUGUUAGAGAAGCGGUAUCUAACCAGAAAGCCACGGCUAACUACGUGCCAGCAGCCGCGGUAAUUC